CGGGCAAGCCGGCUUGUCGCUCCGUCCCAACGGGGAGGAAAGUCCGGGCAACACAGAGCAUCGUACUUCCUAACGGGAAGGUGGCGCCAAAGGCGCCAACAGACAGUGCCACAGAAAACAGGUAGCCACGCCUCGGGCGUGGUGAUAGUGAAAAGGCGGGGUAAGAGCCCACCGGUACCGAGAGUGAUUUCGGACGCAUGGCAAACCUUACGAGUUGAAAGGCCAAAUAGGUAGCAUCUCCUUCGGGAGGUCUGCGGCUCGCAGUCCACUUCGGUGGGUGCUACGGGUAGGCUGCUUGAUUCCGGAUUGCAAAAUCCGGAACAGAUAAAUGACAGGCGCCCCGGUCCCGAUAGGGAUCGGGGAACAGAACCCGGCUUACAGGCUUGCUUUUUUA
rnacentral:RNase_P_RNA from 1 species